UCACAUCAUAUUGAAGCACUGGCUCCUGUAUGAUCACCGAAGUUAAACAACAUUGAGCCUGGUCAGUUCCUAGAUGGGUGACCAACUGGGAAUACUAGGUGUUGAAA